rnacentral:misc_RNA from 1 species
GAAAUGCGAUAAGUAGUGUGAAUUGCAGAAUUCAGUGAAUCAUCGAAUCUUUGAACGCAUAUUGCGCCCCUCGGUAUUCCGUGGGGCAUGCCUGUUCGAGCGUCAUCUACACCCUCAAGCUCUGCUUGGUGUUGGGCGUCUGUCCCGCCUUCGCGCGUGGACUCGCCCCAAAUGCAUUGGCAGCGGUCCUUGCCCCCUCCCGCGCAGCACAUUGCGCUUCUCGAGGCUGCAGCGGCCCGCGUCCAACAAGCUAAACCCCCCCGUCUUUAACCUCGGAUCAGGUAGGGAUACCCACUAAACUUAAGC